CAAGAAUUAUCUAACAAACUUGGAAGAACAAACGAGGUACAUCCCAAUGUCCUCAGUAAUUGCAUUUCAUCCGGAUUGCUUGCACUCGCAUUUCCCCGUCGACUUCGACGACUCUGCCCCUGCCGCCGCCGGCCAUCAGAGGACUGCAAAUCUGCAAUAAGUUAUUAGCGGCAAAGGCUGCAAUCUGCGAUUCUGGCGGCAAUUCUGCGGUGCUUGAUGAAUAUUGGGUGUUCGAGCAGUAUAAGGAGAUGGCAAGCAUGGUUUUAUGAUUGUAAGCAGGAACAAUAUUCCCAUCUACAAAGCUGAAGUGGGAAAUGCAAUUAAGGCAAUGCAUCUUUCUCUUCACUACUAGUUUGUGCCUGCCUCUGAUGAUCAUCAUUCUGCAAUGGUGCGCUGACCAGUUUUAGAUCAUCAUUGUGCAAUGCCAGAAAGAAGACGCUGCUCUCCAACACCAGUUCAGACUUCAGAGUUCAUGCUGCAGUGGACAUUGUAAAGUGCAUAUGCAGUAUAUAGGUGGUAUGGAGUUCACACACCUUGCCCUUAAUUAUUUUGUCACACUUAUUCUUCUUCCCUACCUUUCCAUUCAGGUUUUUGAAGUUAAUUGGUAGUCAAGUGGUUUGGUACAUGUAGGUAUAUGUGGGUACAGGCCAUAUCCUACACAUUUCAACUUAUUACUGAUUGCUGAAUUUGUGCACACAGAAACAUUAUUUGGGAUUUUGUUAUUUGCUGUUUUCACUAACCCUUUAGACUCAUUUUGGUAAAUGUUGGCAUACUUGAUACUAAUUGUGUGUCUUGCAAGACUUGCAUUGCUGAAGGCUGAAGCUGGUGUUCAUGUAUUUGGAUGCUGUUAAGUCUCCAACAAAAUCAAGUUAUGAUGGAAAGAUCAGAUCCCUUGAUAGAAUAUACCUUUCAGAGUAUUGAGCUCCAAAAACAGAAAGCUGGUAGAAUUCAGGUUGGCAGCAGCAUAUGUGUGUAUUAGCCAAAAGCUGAAACCUUACCUUGUGUUCCAGACAUGUGUGUCGGACUGGACAUACAAUUUGCGGCUGGUUGGACCUCCACGAGAUUAUCUGAUCGCCUCAGCAUUGCUUCCUGUUAGCUUCCGCAUUCAGCACUAUCACGUGUGAAGAUCAAGCGCUUAUUACUAUGCCAAAAGUUAUAGUUAGUAACGAGGGUGCAACUUUAUUUCUUUAUACUGCUAUACAUUUUCAAGACGCUAGGGGUUGGAUUUGGUCCUUUAAACCCUUUAUCGGCAUCCGUCCAACAAUCCCCGGGCACCAAGUGCUCAAUUGUUAUACCACGGAUCAGUGUUCAUAUUGCAUUUUGAACUCUAAUUCAAAAAUUAUGUGUCUGCAGUUAACACAUUUUGUAUAUGUAGUUAACAAUUUGUGUCUAUAGUUAUCAUGUUAUAUGUUAGUAA